UACGUAGGGUGCAAGCGUUGUCCGGAAUUAUUGGGCGUAAAGAGCUUGUAGGCGGUUUGUCGCGUCUGCUGUGAAAUUUCGGGGCUCAACCCCGAACUUGCAGUGGGUACGGGCAGACUAGAGUGUGGUAGGGGAGACUGGAAUUCCUGGUGUAGCGGUGAAAUGCGCAGAUAUCUGGAGGAACACCGGUGGCGAAGGCGGCAUCCUGGACCAACACUGACGCUGAGGAGCGAAAGCCAGGGGAGCAAACGGGG
rnacentral:rRNA from 1 species